rnacentral:rRNA from 1 species
AGUGAACGCUGGCGGCGUGCUUAACACAUGCAAGUCGAACGAGAACGGAUUAUAGCUUGCUAUAAUUGUCAGCUAAGUGGCGCACGGGUGAGUAAUGUAUAGGUAAUAUGCCUCUUACUAAGGGAUAACAAAUGGAAACGUUUGCUAAUACCUUAUACUCCUUAUUAACAGAAGUUAAUAAGGGAAAGAUUUAUUGGUAAGAGAUUAGCCUGUAUUGUAUCAGUUAGUUGGUGGGGUAAUGGCUUACCAAGACUAUGACACAUAACUGGUUUGAGAGGAUGAUCAGUCACACUGGAACUGAGACACGGUCCAGACUCCUACGGGAGGCAGCAGUGGGGAAUAUUGCACAAUGGACGAAAGUCUGAUGCAGCAACGCCGCGUGGAGGAUGACACAUUUCGGUGCGUAAACUCCUUUUAUAUGAGAAGAUAAUGACGGUAUUACAUGAAUAAGCACCGGCUAACUCCGUGUCAGCCGCCGCAGUAA